rnacentral:rRNA from 1 species
AAAGAAAACUCGAUUCCCUGAGUAGCGGCGAGCGAAACGGGAAGAGCCCAAACCAAUAGGCUUGCCUAUUGGGGUUGUAGGACACUCUAUACGGAGUUACAAAGGAAAUGAUUAGACGAAUGGUUUUGGAAAAGCCAACCAUAGAAGGUAAAGGUCCUGUAGUCGAAAGUCAUUUCUCUCCUGAGUGGAUCCUGAGUACGGCGGAACACGUGAAAUUCCGUCGGAAUCUGGGAGGACCAUCUCCCAAGGCUAAAUACUCUCUAGUGACCGAUAGUGAACCAGUACCGUGAGGGAAAGGUGAAAAGCACCCCGGAAGGGGAGUGAAAUAGAACCUGAAACCGUGUGCUUACAAAUAGUCAGAGCCCGUUAAUGGGUGAUGGCGUGCCUUUUGUAGAAUGAACCGGCGAGUUACGAUUUGAUGCAAGGUUAAGCAGUAAAUGUGGAGCCGUAGCGAAAGCGAGUCUGAAUAGGGCGAAUGAGUAUCUGGUCGUAGACCCGAAACCAAGUGAUCUACCCAUGUCCAGGUUGAAGUUCAGGUAACACUGAAUGGAGGACCGAACCGACUUACGUUGAAAAGUGAGCGGAUGAGGUGUGGGUAGCGGAGAAAUUCCAAUCGAACUUGGAGAUAGCUGGUUCUCUCCGAAAUAGCUUUAGGGCUAGCCUCAAGUGAUGAUUAUUGGAGGUAGAGCACUGUUUGGACGAGGGGCCCCUCUCGGGUUACCGAAUUCAGACAAACUCCGAAUGCCAAAUAAUUUAACUUGGGAGUCAGACUAUGGGUGAUAAGGUCCGUAGUCGAAAGGGAAACAGCCCAGACCACCAGCUAAGGUCCCAAAAUAUAUGUUAAGUGGAAAAGGAUGUGGCGUUGCCCAGACAACUAGGAUGUUGGCUUAGAAGCAGCCAUCAUUUAAAGAGUGCGUAAUAGCUCACUAGUCGAGUGACACUGCGCCGAAAAUGUACCGGGGCUAAACAUAUUACCGAAGCUGUGGAUUAUCCGUAAGGAUAAUGGUAGGAGAGCGUUCUAAACGUGUCGAAGCAUGAUCGUAAGGACAUGUGGAAUGUUUAGAAGUGAGAAUGCCGGUGUGAGUAGCGAAAGAUGGGUGAGAAUCCCAUCCACCGAUUGACUAAGGUUUCCAGAGGAAGGCUCGUCCGCUCUGGGUUAGUCGGGACCUAAGCCGAGGCCGAUAGGCGUAGGCGAUGGAUAACAGGUAGAUAUUCCUGUACCACCUAUGAUUGUUUGAACGAUGGGGGGACGCAGUAGGAUAGGCGAAGCGUGCUGUUGGAGUGCACGUCCAAGCAAUAAGACUGAGUGUUAGGCAAAUCCGGCACUCGUAAGGUUGAGUUGUGAUGGGGAGUUGGAUCAUGUAUCCGACGAGUCGUUGAUUUCACACUGCCAAGAAAAGCCUCUAGUUAGAAAAUAGGUGCCCGUACCGCAAACCGACACAGGUAGUCAAGAUGAGAAUUCUAAGGUGAGCGAGCGAACUCUCGUUAAGGAACUCGGCAAAAUGACCCCGUAACUUCGGGAGAAGGGGUGCUUUUUAGG